rnacentral:tRNA from 1 species
GUGGGUGUAGCUCAGUGGUAGGGUGCAUGCUUAGCAUGCAUGAGAUCUUGGGUUCAAUCCCCAGCAGCUUCA